UGACUAUAUCAUAUCGAAACACGAGUUCCCGUACGAUCAUUUAGUUAAGCAACUUCAAGCUUGGUCAGUACCUAGAUGGUUGACCGCUUGGGAAUACCAGGUGUUGUAA